GUUGAGCUUUGCUACUUGGAGUCUUCACUUAGCAUCUCAGAGGAGCUGGCUGUGGUUGUAGUGGGGCCUCUCAUGCUGAACACAGCCAUAUUUCUUUUGGUUCUGAUCAGAUGGGGCUGUCGGCUGCUGUUUGCCUCCUGCCCUGACGUCUUGUCAAAGUUAAUCAUUGCCAUGGGACUAUGGACGGUUCUAGACCCCCUGAUGGUGUUGAUAGUGGAUAUUUUCCUGGGGCGACUUACACGUAACGGCGAGGCCCCUAUAGCGGAUGCAGCCAAGCUCUACUGGGUGUUUGUAAGAACACAACAAUCACAAAGUCUUGCUGUGAUGAUCACCACACUACUUUACAUCUUCCUGUUCAUCAUUUCUUCCUUGAUUUUAUAUAUGUAUUGUCUCAGGCUGCACAGUGACUCUUGGAUAUUAGAUGCAUUUCAGCGUGUCCAUAGCGAAGAAACCAAGUUCUUUGUACCAUACGAUUUGGAGAUUUCCAAUCAGGAGCUAAGUUACAUAGUGAAAAGAUCAGAGCAGUGGAGAGGAGUCGGUGGUGAAAGAAGGAAGCGGGUUCCAAGAGCUGUUCCGCCAUUUUCUCAGACUCCCCAGUGGCGCCAUUGUUGAGGUGUUUGGUGACAUCAGUGCCUUACAGUUUGUCCCCAGCGAGGUGGCUGCAGCUAUCCAAGAGCACAUAAGUGAAAUGGACACAGGACUCAGGGACUCCUGCACUACAAGCCCAAGACAUGAAAAGGAUCUUUUAAAGUAAAAAGAUAUUUUUCCUGCUGGUUAAGCAUUCAAUUCUGCUGUAGAUGAGUGCAUCCAUGAAGAAGGAGCCACCAACGGCCACCUCCUUCUUGUUUUCCUGAGGCUGUACCACGGCGACCAGUCACAGUGCAAAGACUAGGUUCAACUUCCUCACCAACCCUCCCGCCUCACAAGGAAGGAGUUGUCCAAAUGUCAGUCAUGGGUGUUACUAGAAGUUACGACCAGUUACGUUUUCAGAGAGGGCAGAACACACUUUCUUGCUUCUUGGCUCAGGGGAGCUGCUUUGUCACUCUGGAAUUUGGAGAGAAGCAGGGUGCUGUUUUUAACAUUCUUUCCCAGUUGUCUUCUGUUGUGUAGAGGGAAUUAUGGGUGUGAUUAGAGAGUAAAAGCUCAAAUUAAUUCUAUCUCCCUUUCAUGCAGCUGGACAUUUUCACUUUUUUUUUCCUUAAAACAAAUUUGAAGCAAACAAUGAAAAAAAUUAAUAUCAACAAAUAGUCAAGUCACUUACAUUGGUUUGCAGAGGAUGUCGUUUGUAUUCUGAGAUAAUAACAUACAAGACCAAACCGAGUGGCUUGGAUUCACUUCACAUUCACUCUUCUGAAGGGGUCAAAUGAAUAUUCCCUUCUUUGCAGUUCUUCUGUAACCACGUUUUUUUCCUUUACUCCUUAACUUUCUUCUAUUUGCUGGAAGUUUAGAUUGAGAUUUAUUACUACAAAUGGGCAUCAAAGAGUCGAUGGGUCAUUAAAAAUCUGGCAUCAUUACAAAUCCUUGCUUUCAUUAUAUAACAAUAAAUAUAAGAUAUCUAGAUGCACUGACCUUCUCCGUCUACAGGGAAGGGCGAGCAAGUAUUCUUGUAACCACAUCUCUCAUACAAAAGGCCGUG
ensembl:lincRNA